AUUGAACGCUGGCGGCAUGCCUUACACAUGCAAGUCGAACGGCAGCACGGGUGCUUGCACCUGGUGGCGAGUGGCGAACGGGUGAGUAAUACAUCGGAACAUGUCCUGUAGUGGGGGAUAGCCCGGCGAAAGCCGGAUUAAUACCGCAUACGAUCUACGGAUGAAAGCGGGGGACCUUCGGGCCUCGCGCUAUAGGGUUGGCCGAUGGCUGAUUAGCUAGUUGGUGGGGUAAAGGCCUACCAAGGCGACGAUCAGCAGCUGGUCUGAGAGGACGACCAGCCACACUGGGACUGAGACACGGCCCAGACUCCUACGGGAGGCAGCAGUGGGGAAUUUUGGACAAUGGGCGAAAGCCUGACCCAGCAAUGCCGCGUGUGUGAAGAAGGCCUUCGGGUUGUAAAGCACUUUUGUCCGGAAAGAAAUCCUUGGCCCUAAUACGGUCGGGGGAUGACGGUACCGGAAGAAUAAGCACCGGCUAACUACGU
rnacentral:rRNA from 1 species